GAUGAACGCUGGCGGCGUGCCUAAUACAUGCAAGUCGAGCGAACGGACGAGAAGCUUGCUUCUCUGAUGUUAGCGGCGGACGGGUGAGUAACACGUGGAUAACCUACCUAUAAGACUGGGAUAACUUCGGGAAACCGGAGCUAAUACCGGAUAAUAUUUUGAACCGCAUGGUUCAAAAGUGAAAGACGGUCUUGCUGUCACUUAUAGAUGGAUCCGUGCUGCAUUAGCUAGUUGGUAAGGUAACGGAUUACCAAGUCAACGAUGCAUAGCCGACCGGAGAGGAUGAUCGGCCACACAGGAACAGAGACACGCUGCAGACACCGACGGGAGGCAUCAGUAGGGAAUCUUCAGCAAUGAGCGAAAGCCUGACGGAGCAACGCCACGUGAGUUAUGAAGGUCUUCGGAUCGUAAAACUCUGUUAUUAGGGAAGAACAUAUGUGUAAGUAACUGUGCACAUCUUGACGGUACCUAAUCAGAAAGCCACGGCUAACUACGUG
rnacentral:rRNA from 1 species